CACAAACAAAAAAUAAGUGAGACGCGGGAUCCGUUUUUGUUCGGGUCAACCUUUACCCAUUAAUUCGGACCUAUAUAAAAGCUUUAUCUUUUUUGACUCCUUCAUUUCCAAACCCUAAUACACGCUCCAUCUCUCCAUCUCUCCGCCUCUCCUCUUGGCGAUUCUCUCAGAUCAUUGGAUUCUUCGCCGCUCGAGUGCAAGUUCCUGUUCUUCAUUCUCAUGUUCAUCAAUCAAUAACAUAGGUAUGUUUAUUCCUUCUGAUCUUUUCUAUUUUGUUAUGUCAUUCCAACCAUAAUAAUCAUGUUUUUUUAUUGUGUAAACCCUAAAUCCUUAUGUUUACAAGCGGUGGUUAAUCCGUUUAGUUUGGGUCAUACCAUACUCGAUCCAUCCAUUUUAUUUGGAUAUCUGAUUAGGGUUUCUUGGUCUCAUCACAAACUCAAAAUUCUUUUCGAUCCCAUCUGCUUUCUCUCUCUCUUGCUCCCUGGCGAUUAAAAAAGACGACGACGAUUCAAGUCGAUUGGUGAAGAUUUCACCAAAUCAGUGAAGAAUCUAACCUCUCAGCAGGAUUCGAAGAAGCUAAUCGGUGCUCCUGCGUAGUGCUAUUCAUAUUCAAAAUCUUUAUAAGUCGAACGAAACAAGCUUCAAACUGGUUUAUAAAUGCCCGAGUUCGUCUAUAGAAGCCAAUGGUGGACGAACAUAAUAAUUUUAAUGAAUAUUGUAUAGAGAAUUUGAAGCAAAAACAUCUCUUUUGAUGUUUGUUGCUCAUACAGUAUGUUUUUCCAAUAAGAGUAUUUGUUUGGACCUCCAUUGGAUUAAUUUUUUUCCAACUAACUUGCUUUUGCAGAACGCUAUUAAUAUCUUUCAAGAGUUCAACUAAACAUAAACCUCACUGUAUUAUUCUUCAAAGAGGUGGUAUGGAUUCGGACAAUUCCAAUUGGCAUUUUGAGUUGAAAUAUGACCGGCGGGUUGCUCUCCCAGUAGCUGAGCCAUGGCCAAUAGCCCAUUAUAAGGUUUGUAGAUAUCCAUUAUUCAUUAAGUUUUGAAACCUCAAGUGGGACUGCGUUUGUUUAUAUGUGAUGUUAUAUUAGUUGAUUGUCUUAAACACAUAUCAUAUUACUAUUUGUGUUCCAUCUUGUAUUAUAGCACGGUGUGGUCGUCAUAGAUGAAAAGCUAUACACUGUUGGUGGAUGUCGUAUAACCGAACAAGGAAUCAUGGGUGUUGAUUAUUACAAGAUUUUGCGGGUUGACCAGAAUAUGUAUGUUGGAGUUUUAUUUUAAUUUAUUUCAUAAUUCUAUAUAUUGUGGGGAUUAUAUUUGUUAGGCUUUGAAUUCUAUCUUAAUAUUAGUUAGGUUAUAUUGUUAAUUAAUUAUUGUUAGCCCUUUUAUGUGAAUUUAAUUGAGUAAAUUUUUAGUUUAGUCUUAUAGAUUGUUGGUGGGUAAUUAUGAUUGAAAACUAAGAUGAUUAAACUGAUUUCCUCCUUUGUUUCUGAAUAGGUUUCGAGCAUCUGGGGUAGAUUUGUAGCAUCCUAUUUUCGGAUAUGUUUUUUAUUUGUAUUUUGAGUUGUAUUUGUCUUUAAUCUGAUGUUCAAGUUCUCAGUGCUCCACAAAAGCUAGCGGUAUAAGAUCAAUGUGUUGAAGAAGGGCUAAAAGGGUGUGCUGCCACCGGAUGCUGCCAGUGGACCUGACAGAUCUCACAUUCUCACGAGACAUUGCACACAUUAGUGGGUAAGUUGAUCAUCUUCCAUCAAACCAAUAGGCGGGUCGAGGGUGUUGGGUCAAGUUGUCAACUUGGGCCUAAAUCAUUUCAAAAUUAUGUGUAUAGUUUCAUAAUGAAACUGUUUGAUUUUGUGAAUUACUUUACAAGUGGUGGGUACUGGGUAACAAAAUGAUUUACAAUUUCUAAUACCCUUUUAUGUUACCAUUAACAUUUUUUGCUAACUUUCAUAAUUAUAUUAUUUCGUGACCAGAUUAUACCAUGGCAAAGCACCAUUUAACCACUAUGUUCCUGUUCGAAUAUUUUUUGGUUGUUUGCACAUAAAGGCAGUCAUAAUCAAAUAAGCUAACCCACUUAUUCUUGUAUUAGUGUUGUGUGUGUUCUCACUGUUUUCUUACCUUUAGAUAUUUGAAAUAUGUCUCUUGGUUGAUAUUAGAAAGUAUCCUUAUUUAAAGGGUCAAGUUGCUUUAUCAUAAUUGGUUGCACAGAUUUUUUUUUUUAAUUUCAGUUUUCCUAUAAUGCGAGGGUGAUGAAAGAUGUUUGUCAAACUGCACUUUAUGUGGCAAGAGUCGAGGGAUAUAGUAAUGUUGUCGAUGCAAUUGAGGUACAUAUGUAGUUUAUUUCACACAUGUCUUUGAUGGAUACAUUUAUUUCUCAUUUUUUGAUAUGUCAUCAUCUUAUGUUUGGUUUGUAAUGCAAUUAUUGUAGAACCAUCAACCAUUUACCUUUUACCAACAAUACUUAACACAAAUUAAAAAAAAAAA